rnacentral:rRNA from 1 species
AUGCCUCAACGCCAGUUGGGGUGGAGUCGUUGUUGAAAUACCACUCUGAUCGUAUUGGACAUCUCAACCUCGGCCCGUGAUCCGGGUUAGGGACAGUGCCUGGUGGGUAGUUUAACUGGGGCGGUUGCCUCCCAAAGAGUAACGGAGGCGCCCAAAGGUUCCCUCAGCCUGGUUGGCAAUCAGGUGUUGAGUGUAAGUGCACAAGGGAGCUUGACUGUGAGACUGACAGGUCGAGCAGGUAGGAAACUAGGGACUAGUGAUCCGGCACCGGCUUGUGGAAGCGGUGUCGCUCAACGGAUAAAAGGUACCCCGGGGAUAACAGGCUGAUCUUCCCCAAGAGUCCAUAUCGACGGGAUGGUUUGGCACCUCGAUGUCGGCUCGUCGCAUCCUGGGGCUGGAGUAGG